GCGUUCGUGGUGUAACGGUUAGCACACUCUGCGCGUGUUCGAGAGGUCCAGGGUUCGAGUCCCAGCGAGGGCA
rnacentral:tRNA from 1 species